AUUGAACGCUGGCGGCAGGCCUAACACAUGCAAGUCGGGCGAGGGGCGGACGGGUGAGCAAUGUAUGGGGAUCUGCCUGAUGGCGGGGGAUAACUACUGGAAACGGGAGAUAAUACCGCAUACCAUCAGAUGAACCCAUAUGGGAUUAGCAAGUAGGUAAGGUAACGGCUUACCUAGGCGACGAUCCCUAGCUGGUCUGUGAGGAUGAUCCGCCACACUGGGACUGAGACACGGCCCAGACUCCUACGGGAGGCAGCAGUGGGGAAUAUUGCACAAUGGGCGCAAGCCUGAUGCAGCCAUGCCGCGUGUAUGAAGAAGGCCUUCGGGUUGUAAAGUACUUUCAGUCGGGCGGCGUUACCGACAGAAGAAGCACCGGCUAACUCCGUGCCAGCAGCCGCGGUAAUAC
rnacentral:rRNA from 1 species